rnacentral:rRNA from 1 species
AGCAGCCGCGGUAAUUCCAGCUCCAAUAGCGUAUAUUAAAGUUGUUGCAGUUAAAAAGCUCGUAGUUGAAUUUCGGGAUCAGUGGGUCGGUCGUGCCACUGGUAUGCACUGGCCCUACUGGUUCCUCCUUCUUGAAGAACUGUAAUGCCAUUAAUUUGGUGUUGCAGGGAAACAGGACUGUUACUUUGAAAAAUUAGAGUGUUUAAAGCAGGCAAUCGCUUGAAUACAUUAGCAUGGAAUAAUGAAAUAGGACGGUCGAUCCUAUUUUGUUGGUUUCUAGGAUUGACGUAAUGAUUAAUAGGGAUAGUUGGGGGCAUUAGUAUUCAAUUGUCAGAGGUGAAAUUCUUGGAUUUAUUGAAGACUAACUACUGCGAAAGCAUUUGCCAAGGAUGUUUUCAUUAAUCAAGAACGAAAGUUAGGGGAUCGAAGACGAUCAGAUACCGUCGUAGUCUUAACCAUAAACUAUGCCGACUAGGGAUCGGAUGAUGUUAAUUUUUAUGA